rnacentral:rRNA from 1 species
CCUACGGGAGGCAGCAGUCGAGAAUCAUUCACAAUGGGGGAAACCCUGAUGGUGCGACGCCGCGUGGGGGAAUGAAGGUCUUCGGAUUGUAAACCUCUUUUAUGUGGGAGCAAAUUAAAAAGAGAGUACCACAAGAGGAAGAGACGGCUAAAUCUGUGCCAGCAGCCGCGGUAAUACAGACGUCGCAAGCGUUGUUCGGAAUCACUGGUCGUAAAGUGUUCGUGUGCUGGUCCGUAAGUGGUGUGUGAAAGGCGCGGGCUCAAACCGCGGACGGCAGAUGAUACUGCGAGACUAGAGUGAUGGAGGGGGAACCGGAAUUCUCGGUGUAGCAGUGAAAUGCGUAGAUAUCGAGAGGAACACU